CAGAGAUAUAUUCAUGUUCAUUUGGUGGUAUAAUGCAUUGAAAAGGGCUGAAUCACUGCUAAUUUGGAUAUUAUCUACUUCUUUCUGUAGACUAGAACAUCAAGAGUGGGAGAGUAUCCAUUCAACUACAGACUUGCCUGGAGCGUGUCUCUCUCUCUGCUGUCUGGUCAUUGCCCAAGGGAAGACUGCAGUUUGGGAUAAGAUCUGCUCUCUAACAAACUUAUCUCGUGUGGGGAUGAUGUCUCUGAGGUUGUGCCUCUGCAAGGCCACUCACUUUACCAUGCUGAGUCCAAGAGAAGACUUCCAAUUGAUUGCCAGCACCUGAUGCCCCAGAAUAUCACUUCUUGUCUGACUGGACAUGUGCCAUCCUCAGGUACCACCUCCCGCCUCAUAGUGAAUAUUUAAGCUGGGAAAGAAAAAUAAGGGUUUUUUCAUGC
rnacentral:lncRNA from 1 species